rnacentral:rRNA from 1 species
GAUGAACGCUGACAGAAUGCUUAACACAUGCCAGUCGAAGGGGAAGUGGUGCUUGCACCCUGGUAACCAUGGCGGACGGGUGAGUAACACGUAAGGAACUUACCUGCGGGACCGGGAUAACAGCAGGAAACUGCUGACAAGACCGGAUAAGGUCAUUAAGCUGCAUAGCUUAGUGAUGAAAGGAGACGCCUGCGGAGAGCCGUGCGUCCUAUUAGCUAGUUGGGGGGGUAACGGCCCCCCAAGGCGAAGAUAGGUAGCCGGCCUGAGAGGGUGGACGGCCACAAGGAGUGUGAGAUACGGCCCUUACUCCUGCGGGGGGCAGCAGUGGGGAAUAGUGGACUAGGGGGGCAACCCUGGUCCAGCAAUUCUGUGUGCAAGAAGGCGGUUUUCGGAGUGUAAAGUGCUUUCAGCAGGGAAGAAGGAAGUGACGGUACCUGCAGAAGAAGCGACGGCUAAAUACGUG